rnacentral:rRNA from 1 species
UACGUCGGCAGCGAGCGUUGUUCGGAAUUACUGGGCGUAAAGCGUGCGUAGGCGGUCGUCUAAGUUUGGUGUGAAAUCUCCCGGCUCAACCGGGAGGGUGCGCCGAAAACUGGCCGGCUAGAGUGCGGGAGAGGGAAGUGGAAUUCCUGGUGUAGCGGUGAAAUGCGUAGAUAUCAGGAGGAACACCGGUGGUGAAGACGGCCUCCUGGACCGUGACUGACGCUGAGGCACGAAAGCGUGGGGAGCAAACAGG